CAAUAGCGUAUAUUAAAGUUGUUGCAGUUAAAAAGCUCGUAGUUGAACUUCAGACCUGGCCGGGCGGUCCGCCGCAAGGUGUGUACUGUCUGGCUGGGCCUUACCUCUUGGUGAGCCGGCAUGCCCUUUACUGGGUGUGUCGGGGAACCAGGACUUUUACCUUGAGAAAAUUAGAGUGUUCAAAGCAGGCCUAUGCCUGAAUACGUUAGCAUGGAAUAAUAAAAUAGGACGUGCGGUUCUAUUUUGUUGGUUUCUAGAGUCGCCGUAAUGAUUAAUAGGGAUAGUUGGGGGCAUUCGUAUUCCGUUGCUAGAGGUGAAAUUCUUGGAUUUACGGAAGACGAACUUCUGCGAAAGCAUUUGCCAAGGAUGUUUUCAUUAA
rnacentral:rRNA from 1 species